rnacentral:rRNA from 1 species
GACGAACGCUGGCGGCGUGCUUAACACAUGCAAGUCGAACGGCAAGGCCCUGCAUUUGUGGGGUGCUCGAGUGGCGAACGGGUGAGUAACACGUGCGUAACCUGACCUUGACUAUGGGAUAACUUCAGGUACCUUGGUCUAAUACCGGAUAGGAGCUCCUGCUGCAUGGUGGGGGUUGGAAAGUUUCGGCGGUUGGGGAUGGACUCGCGGCUUAUCAGCUUGUUGGUGGGGUAGUGGCUUACCAAGGCUUUGACGGGUAGCCGGCCUGCGAGGGUGACCGGCCACAUGGGGACUAAGAUACGGCCCAGACGCCUACGUGAGGCAGCAGUGGGGAAUAUUACACAGUGGGCGGAAGCCAGAGGCGGCAACGCCGCGUGUGGGAUGACGGCCUGCGAGGUAUAAACCGCUUGCGCCUGUGACGAAGCGUGAGUGACGGUAAUGGGUAAAUAAGCACCGGCUAACUACGUG